rnacentral:rRNA from 1 species
GAUGAACGCUAGCGGCAGGCCUAAUACAUGCAAGUCGUGGGGCAGCAGGACUGUAGCAAUACAGUUGCUGGCGACCGGCAAACGGGUGCGGAACACGUAUGCAACUUACCCUGAACUGGGGGAUAGCCCGGGGAAACCCGGCUGAAUACCCCGUAAUAGAAUGGAGUGGCAUCACUCUAUUAUUAAAGCUUCGGCGGAUCGGGAUGGGCGUGCGGCUGAUUAGGUGGUUGGUUGAGGUAACGGCUCACCAAGCCUACGAUCAGUAACUGGUGUGAGGGCACGACCAGUCGCACGGGCGCUGCGGCCCUGGCCCGACUCCUACGGGAGGCAGCGGUAUGGAAUAUUGAGCACUGGAGGCUACUCUGACCCAGCCAUGCCGCGUGGGGGAUGAAGGCCCUCUUGGUUGUAAUCUUCUUUUAUAGGGGACGAGACCUGUGUAUUCUUGCGCAGUUGACGGUACCCUAGGAAUAAGCACCGGCUAACUCCGUG